rnacentral:piRNA from 1 species
GUGGAACUUGUCCCCUUUGUUGAUGGC